UCCAGAGCAGCCUGGUUUGCACUCAGAUCACCAUGCUUAAAGAACAGUCACUUAAUCUCACUUAGAAAUGUUUACUUGCGAGGACCAGAUGGCCCAGGGAGUUGGGCUAAACGAAGCGUUUUACUUCUAGGUCAUGUGUUCUAAUCCAGCCCAGGUUGGUAAUAAAUGAACAUAUUCACCUGAUAGCCACUUUUGGCUCCAUUUUUGGUAUUUUUCAGGCUGGUUUCCAAGGGAAGAUGUCACACCACGAAAUCUCCCUCUGUGCCAUGCCGCAGUCAGUACUGAUUUGACCGUCUCAGUGGAGAAGCCAAGGAUCAAAUGCUCCACGGCGCCAGACUGUUUUCUUUUCCAGCCUGCAGGAACCAGGUCCAUCCCGCCCCAGUGCUGCCAGAAGAUAGAGCAGACCCCAUGAGAUGCCAACAGAGAGGCAACACCAAGCAAGGAGUUAUCCCAGGCUGGCUUCCACAGAAGUGAGCUGCAACUCCCAGGGGGUCAAAGGAGGAAACCCAAAGUUCAUCAGCAGUUUUCUUGCAAACAUUGUUUUAGUUGCAGCGGCGCUCACCCCUGUGCAUGGCAGGGAUGCUUGCGGGGCUUUGUUUCACUUUGUACGGCCCCGAGAGUUCCUCGUGUGGGUCAGCAUGUGAUGAAAGCAGCCACAAUGUGUUGGCUAUGGGAAAGCUGUCCGGUGGUGAACCCUUGUCCCCACGAACACGGACAGCACGGAGGCUCCGGGCCGGCUGUCUGCCCUUGCUCCUUUCAUGCCAUGGAUGACACCAAAUGUGCAACUUCGCCAACGCUAACAUUUCCUCUCCUUGCUGAAAGCAGCCCGCAGGACAGAAAGCUGGGCACGGGUCGUUUCACAAAAAAAGGUAUUUUAUUAUUCUUAGCAAUAUUCACCUUGAAGGAAUAUG